AUACGGAGGGAUCGAACGUUAAUCGGAAUUACUGGGCGUAAAGCGCGCGUAGGCGGCUUUGUAAGUCGGAUGUGAAAGCCCCGGGCUUAACCUGGGAAUUGCAUUCGAUACUGCAGAGCUAGAGUAUGGUAGAGGGAAGUGGAAUUUCCGGUGUAGCGGUGAAAUGCGUAGAUAUCGGAAGGAACACCAGUGGCGAAGGCGACUUCCUGGGCCAAUACUGACGCUGAGGUGCGAAAGCGUGGGGAGCAAACAGGAUUAGAAACCCCGGUAGUCC
rnacentral:rRNA from 1 species